rnacentral:tRNA from 1 species
GCCUUCAUAGCUCAACCGGAUAGAGCAUCGGUCCUCGGAACCGAAGGUUCAGGGUUCGACCCCCUGCGAAGGCACUA